rnacentral:lncRNA from 1 species
CUAGGGGCCGCUCUGCCUCCCGCCCCCUAGUGGUUGUGGCCGCUCUGUCACCACGGCUCCCGGGGCCUCUGUCGGCUCCACUUUGGUUGAGACGUCUCCACAGCCCAACAACGGCGGCGAUCUGAGGAGAGGCAGGAGAAAAUACGGCGCGCUCGGCAUCGUCCUUCUGACCGGGGACUCCAGCAUCUCAGUCAUCGCGUCACCAAGCCCCACGGGACUAUGGAAAGACUACAUUUCUCAACCUUCCUAGUAGAUGUGAUGUCACCAGUCGGAAUUGGGCAGAAGAAUGUAUCACUUCAGUCCAAGGCAAUUAAGUCAACAGCAAUUUAUUUACGGAUUACCUACUCAGUUGGUGCCAAGCCUGGUUCUAGAUGCUGAAGACAGAGCCUAGAUCAAGAUUGACUUGGUCCUGGCUUUCCUGAAGUUCCCAGCCUGGUAGAAGAGACAUAAUAAACAACUAGCAAACACAGAAAUGUGAUUCUUUCUGGGAGUAUUAGGUGCUCUGAAAGGAAGAACAAGGGUGAUGUGAUAGACGCUGAUUGGGAUGGGAGCUUUUUCAGAUUGGAUGACAGGAAAGGUCUUCUGAAAUCUGCCUGGUAUGUAGGAGCUAGCCUCUAAAAGUUGUGGAGGAAGAGCACUAGGA